GAAACACCAAAAAGGGAAUUACGUAGCGAUAAGAAGGAUCAAAAUCGGUCCGUUUUGCGUGCAUUUCCAUGCUUCCACCUGAUCAGAACCAAUCAGGGCCGUCGGUUUUCGUGACCAUCCCAUCAAGUUCAACCUUUGGCAGGAAUCGUGUAACCAUUUCUUCUUCUUCUUCUUGCUUCUAUGUUGUUGCCCAAACCGAGAAGGGGCCUGCAACAAAACCAAAACGAGGGAAAAAUCCUUUUUCAAGUUUCAAGGUUAGAGAGUAAAGGAUAGAUUAACCAACGAACUGAGUUCUCUGCCUUGGUGUUUGUUUGGUAUCAACUUCCAGGAAGAACCCAUAAAUUGGGUAAUCGUUCAUCCUUGGUUUAGCGUAUAGUAGAGACAGAGAAACAGAGAGAGACAGAGAGAGGGAGAGGGGUUUCGAGGAAUGCGUGUGGAGGAUGCCGAUGAUCUUGAAAUGAGGGAUUCAAGAUCAGUUCCGAUUUCACCGCGAGCGUACAAAUGGAUGGUGAAUUUCCAUCGGGAUUUGUUGGCGGGGGCUUUCAUGGGCGGACUGGUACACACAAUCGUUGCCCCAAUUGAGAGGGCGAAGCUUCUGUUACAGACCCAAGAGAGCAAUCUGGCGAUUGUUGGGGUUGGGCGAAGGAGGUUUAAGGGUAUGUUCGAUUGUAUUUUUCGCACCGUUCGAGAAGAAGGCGUUCUCUCUCUAUGGAGAGGCAAUGGAAGCAGUGUUAUUCGCUAUUACCCUUCUGUUGCCCUCAAUUUUUCUCUUAAGGAUCUAUAUAAAGACAUGUUAAGGAAUAGCUUUGUAGAUGGUCACUUUCUUUCUGGUCCAUCAGCCAAUUUUAUUGCUGGGGCAGCUGCUGGUUGUUCAACAUUGAUUUUAAUAUACCCUUUAGAUAUUUCGCACACUCGCCUUGCUGCUGAUAUCGGAAGAACCGACGUCCGACAGUUUCGAGGCAUCUGCCAUUUCCUUGCUACCAUACACAAGAAGGAUGGGAUUGGAGGGAUUUACAGGGGCCUUCCAGCCUCUCUACAAGGAAUGGUGGUGCACAGAGGCCUUUAUUUUGGAGGCUUUGACACCAUGAAAGAGAUUUUGGUAGAACAGUCUAAAUCAGAGUUGGCUCUAUGGAAGCGUUGGGGAGUGGCUCAAGUGGUCACAACCUCUGCUGGAUUGUUGUCGUAUCCAUUCGACACGGUUAGAAGGCGAAUGAUGAUGCAAUCUGGGCUGGAUAAGGGGAUGUACAACAGCACCCUAGACUGCUGGAAGACGAUUUACCGAAAGGAGGGGGUUAGCUCUUUCUAUCGAGGCGCCGUUUCGAACAUGUUCAGAAGUACAGGUGCAGCUGCGAUCCUUGUUUUGUACGACGAGGUGAAGAAGUUCAUGAAAUGGGGCGGGUUGUAAUAGAUAGAAGGAACAACACUAUCUGACAUUUGAUGACACAUCUUGUAGGGGUUAGAAACGAGCACGAUAUCGUUGGUGUGAGCGUGUUCCUUAACCGUUCAGCAAUUACAUAAAGAUUGAUUGAUUUUUGUUUGUUAGAUGAGGUGAGCUAGAGAAAAACAGUAGUAAAAAAGAAGAGAUUCUGAUAUGGAAAGGAAGUUAGUUGGCGUCC